UACCUGGUUGAUCCUGCCAGUAAUCAUAUGCUUGUCUCAAAGAUUAAGCCAUGCAUGUCUAAGUACAUGCCGAAAUAAGGCGAAACCGCGAAUGGCUCAUUAAAUCAGUUAUGGUUCCUUAGAUCGUUUCUUCCUACUUGGAUAACUGUGGCAAUUCUAGAGCUAAUACAUGCAGUGAGCCUGAAGCCCUUUGGGCGACGGGUGCUUUUAUUAGACCAAGAUCGAUCGGGUUUCGGCCCGUAUUGUGUGGUGACUCUGGAUAACUUUGUGCUGAUCGCAUGGCCACGAGCCGGCGACGUUUCUUUCAAGUGUCUGCCUUAUCAACUUUCGAUGGUAGGUUACUUGCUUACCAUGGUUGUUACGGGUAACGGAGAAUCAGGGUUCGAUUCCGGAGAGGGAGCCUGAGAAACGGCUACCACAUCCAAGGAAGGCAGCAGGCGCGCAAAUUACCCACUCCCGGCACGGGGAGGUAGUGACGAAAAAUAACAAUAGGGGACUCUUUUGAGGCCCCGUAAUUGAAAUGAAUACACUCUAAAUCCUUUAACGAGGAUCAAUUGGAGGGCAAGUCUGGUGCCAGCAGCCGCGGUAAUUCCAGCUCCAAUAGCGUAUACUAAAGCUGCUGCGGUUAAAAAGCUCGUAGUUGGAUCUCAGUUCCAGACGAGUAGCGCAUCUACCCGAUGCGACGGCUCGGACUGAACAUCAUGCCGGUCCUUUCUUGGUGCACUUCAUUGUGUGCCUCGAGAAGGCCGGUGCUUUUACUUUGAAAUAAUUAGAGUGCUCAACGCAGGCGAGUCGCCUGAAUAAACUUGCAUGGAAUAAUAGAACAAGACCUCGUUUCUGUUCUGUUGGUUUUUGGAAUACGAGGUAAUGAUUAAGAGGGACAGACGGGGGCAUUCGUAUUGCGGCGCUAGAGGUGAAAUUCUUGGACCGUCGCAAGACGAACUACUGCGAAAGCAUUUGCCAAGAAUGUUUUCUUUGAUCAAGAACGAAAGUCAGAGGUUAGAAGGCGAUCAGAUACCGCCCUAGUUCUGACCAUAAACGAUGCCAACCAGCGAUCCGCCUGAGUUACUCAAACGACUCGGCGGGCAGCUUCCGGGAAACCAAAGUGUUUGGGUUCCGGGGGAAGUAUGGUUGCAAAGCUAAAACUUAAAGGAAUUGACGGAAGGGCACCACCAGGAGUGGAGCCUGCGGCUUAAUUUGACUCAACACGGGAAAACUUACCCGGCCCGGACACUGGGAGGAUUGACAGAUUGAGAGCUCUUUCUUGAUUCGGUGGAUGGUGGGGCAUGGCCGUUCUUAGUUGGUGGAGCGAUUUGUCUGGUUAAUUCCGAUAACGAACGAGACUCUAGCCUAUUAAAUAGGUGCGGGGUUCCCAGCACCUUACAACCUUCUUAGAGGGACAAGCGGCUCCUAGCCGCACGAAACAGAGCAAUAACAGGUCUGUGAUGCCCUUAGAUGUCCAGGGCCGCACGCGCGCUACGCUGAAGGAACCAGCGUGUCUUUAUCCCUGUCUGAAAAGAUUGGGUAACCCGUGGAACUUCUUUCGUGAUUGGGAUAGGGGCUUGCAAUUGUUCCCCUUGAACGAGGAAUUCCCAGUAAGCGCGAGUCAUAAGCUCGCGUUGAUUACGUCCCUGCCCUUUGUACACACCGCCCAUCGCUACUACCGAUUGAAUGAUUUAGUGAGGUCUUCGGACCGAUGUCCGGCGCGGCCUUUCGGUUGCGCCUGUCUGUUGGAAAGAUGACCAAACUUGAUCAUUUAGAGGAAGUAAAAGUCGUAACAAGGUUUCCGUAGGUGAACCUGCGGAAGGAUCAUUA